rnacentral:rRNA from 1 species
GACGAAGGAUGCAAGCGUUAUCCGGAUUCAUUGGGUUUAAAGGGAGCGUAGGUGGUCUUAUAAGUCAGUGGUGAAAUCUCCGGGCUUAACCCAGAAAUUGCCAUUGAUACUGUAGGACUUGAGUAUAGUUGCCGUUGGCGGAAUAUGACAUGUAGUGGUGAAAUACAUAGAGAUGUCAUAGAACACCGAUUGCGAAGGCAGCUGACGAAACUAUAACUGACACUGAGGCUCGAAAGUGCGGGGAUCAAACAGG